CUUCCUUUGGGCUCAUCGAUGCACUUUGCAAGAUUUGCCCAGUGUUUCCCGGCGUUCUCCCGUGGUAAUGGACCCUUAGCAGAGACGUCUUGUAACGCUGUGUCAUCGCUCGUGCUCUCAUCAACGUUUAAUCAUUCGGAGGAGGAGCGAGAGGGAGAGAGUUGACAAGGAAACGUCUGGGAGAAAGUUUUCCUGCUGAUGCUGUCUCUAUUUGAGAGGCAAACUAGUGUUAUGGAGUGUGAGAUUAUGAGUAAUCAAGAACAAUCCUGGUUGAAGAAGCGGCGGCAGCUCAAGCAGAGCAUAUCAGAGAAGAACGCCCAUGAGCAGAACCCUGCGCACCCGCUGCCCAAGUCGCCGUUGAUUUCCUGUCCAGACGCACAGAACGGCGCCGAGCCGACGGACAGGGCCGAGAAAGCCGGCGAACCGCAGUCGAGGAAGGCGGCGAAGCCUCCCUCGGACUCAGGUGAGGGCCCCCUGUGACUCUGUGAGCCAUUCCAUUGCUCCCCCCUACAUUCAUGGAAGUCUUUCUCACAGGGGUCAGCCAUGCAGACGUAAACGUAAAAAAAAAAAAAAGAGCGAGCUGCUUCUGUUUACGUCCGGUACGACUUGUACGCCGACCCUUAACGAGGAGGCGUCCUUGACCUACAACGGUUCCGCUCCGAACUGGUGUGAACGCGGGUGGGUUCGCCACCAAGGUUACAAGAAUCCUGAAUGGAACCGGUUCAAGAACCCAAGCUACUUUGGUGGGGAAGGGACUGAUUGUGGAUCAAACCCAGGACCUUUGAGGCUGGGACUCUAAACAAACCCAACCACUGAACUCUCACGCCCCUAAUAAUCACAGCACGCGACGUUUGAGUAGCACACCGGUCGAUAUGUUCUGUAAAGAAUCCCGAACAAAGAGGUUUUAUUAGUUUUUUUAACUGAGCGGUUGCAUAAGGUCAACAGCCAGGUGGGGAGUCGUAUGCUGAGCUCGGCCCAUAUUGACGGUGUUGAUUGAUUGCCAUCACCGGCCGGCCGGAGAUUGGGCGAGCCGUGUGUCUACCGUUUUUCCUUUUUUGUCGCUCAGUAAGAGGACACCUCAGGACCAUCUGCGGGUGCAUGAAAUCCGAAAUCAAAUCAAACACAAAGCCUAGCCUGGCCAGGGAUCAGGGCAAU
ensembl:lncRNA